GACGAACGCUGGCGGCGUGCUUAACACAUGCAAGUCGAACGGAAAGGCCCUGCUUGCAGGGUGCUCGAGUGGCGAACGGGUGAGUAACACGUGGGUGAUCUGCCCCUUACUUUGGGAUAAGCCUGGGAAACUGGGUCUAAUACUGGAUAGGACCAUGCUGUAGGUGGUGUGGUGGAAAGAUUAGUUUCGGUAAGGGAUGAGCUCGCGGCCUAUCAGCUUGUUGGUGGGGUAAUGGCCUACCAAGGCGUCGACGGGUAGCCGGCCUGAGAGGGUGGACGGCCACAUUGGGACUGAGAUACGGCCCAGAAUCCUACGGGAGGCAGCAGAGGGGAAUAUUGCACAAUGGGCGCAAGCCUGAUGCAGCGACGCCGCGUGGGGGAUGACGGCCUUCGGGUUGUAAACUCCUUUCAGCCAUGACGAAGCCCUUGUGGUGGCGGUAGUGGUAGAAGAAGCACCGGCUAACUACGUG
rnacentral:rRNA from 1 species